UGACCUUGAAUCGUGAUUCCUUUCAGCUUUGUAAACUCUAUCCACCAAAGCAGUCCUGAGCUCCAGAUUUUUGAAUUUGUAGGCGCAACAAUCGUCCCAUCUAGCUGCAACAAAUAAAAGACCCAAUCAUCAGCUAUGUUUUUAGCAGCAGUAGCAUACCUGGAAUAUGAUGUUAGGCUGGCAGUAGGGACCCGAGAAGGAGAUCGGACCGACGAGGAAUGCGUAAUCCGAUGGAACCUUCACCGUUGAUGCCUCGACCUGGCAGGCUGCCAUCCAAGCAUCUUCAAAUGCCUGCAUUGUAAUUUUCCAGUGAACAACAUGGUAGCUCUCUCUACUGCUAUUAUACUUAGCUUCAGAAAUUCCCUCUAUGAAAGAUGCUGAUCCCCAAAAAAGAGAUCUUUAAGAACUUAUUUAUACUAAGGGGGAAUUAAAUGCUUGAAA